rnacentral:rRNA from 1 species
UACCAGCUCUCCGAGUGGUGGGGAUGUUUAUUGGGCUUAAAGCGUCCGUAGCUGGCUUUUCAAGUCUCUCGUUAAAUCCAACGAUUCAAUCGUUGGACUGCGGGAGAUACUGUUUGGCUAGGGGGCGGGAGAAGCCGACGGUAUUUCCGGUGUAGGGGUAAAAUCCUAUAAUCCCGGGAGGACCACCAGUGGCGAAGGCGGUCGGCUAGAACGCGCUCGACGGUGAGGGACGAAAGCUGGGGGAGCAAACCGGAUUAGAUACCCGGAUAGUCCCAGCUGUAAACGAUGCGGGCUAGGUGUUGAAGCGGCUACGAGUUGCUUCAGUGCCGCAGGAAAACCAUUAAGCCCGCCGCCUGGGGAGUACGGCCGCAAGGCUGAAACUUAAAGGAAUUGGCGGGGGAGCACCACAAGGGGUGAAGCUUGCGGUUCAAUUGGAGUCAACGCCGGGAACCUUACCGGAGGCGACAGCAGGAUGAAAGCCAGAUUGAAGGUUUUGCUGGACGGGCUGAGAGGAGGUGCAUGGCCGUCGCCAGUUCGUGCCGUGAGGUGUCCUGUUAAGUCAGGCAACGAUCGAGACCCACAUCCCCUGUUGCUACCGAGGAGUUUUUCCAAGGAGCACUCUGGGGGCACUGCCUACGAUAAGUUGGAGGAAGGAGUGGGCUACGGCAGGUCAGUAUGCCCCGAAUCCUCCGGGCCACACGCGAGCUGCAAUGGUUGGGACAGUGGGCUCCGACCUCGAAAGGGGAAGGCAAUCCCGAAACCCAGCCUCAGUUGGGAUCGAGGGCUGAAACCCGCCCUCGUGAACAUGGAAUCCCUAGUAAUCGCGCGUCAUCAACGCGCGGUGAAUACGUCCCUGCUCCU